UACGGGGGGGGCAAGCGUUGUUCGGAAUUACUGGGCGUAAAGGGUUUGUAGGUGGCUUGCUAAGUCAGACGUGAAAUCCCUCAGCUUAACUGGGGAACUGCGUCUGAGACUGGUGAGCUUGAGUGCAGGAGAGGAACGCGGAAUUCCAGGUGUAGCGGUGAAAUGCGUAGAUAUCUGGAGGAACACCGGUGGCGAAGGCGGCGUUCUGGACUGCAACUGACACUGAGGAACGAAAGCUAGGGGAGCAAACGGG
rnacentral:rRNA from 1 species